GGCGGCGUUGCCCGCACGCCCCUUCUCUCCCCCCUCCCGUCACGGCCAGUGGGGGCGCUCCCGCCGCGCCUGACCGCUCCCGCCGCUGCAGGGCCUCCGCCGGCCUGGGCGGCAGUGAACGGCACCGGCAGCCGCAGGGGCGCGGCGGGCCCUGGCUUUCUCCCCGGUUACACCACCCAGCUCCCCGUCGUGGUCCUGCUCCCGGGCAUUCCGCCUCACCACAACUCCGCCGCCUCCCGAGCCCCCCGCUGCCGAGGCCGAGGCCGAGGCCGGGCAGGGGGGCGGGAGGCUGAACCGAAGGGGAAGUGUGCGAAAGGAGGCGGGGAGAGAGGGCGGUGGCGGCGGUGAGCGGGCGGGCAGGCAGGCAGGCAGGCAGGCAGGUGAGGAAGGCGGCCUUCCCGUUCCCCUCCUGCCCUUGGCGGCGAGGAGGUCUAAGGGGAGUAGGAGGUGUGGGGCAUCGGCCGCUCUUGGGCAGCGCGUCUCUGGCGAGAAGAAAACUCGAUUUGAUUUAACACAUUUCCUUGGGGUCGGAAGAAACUCCUGCCUUCUGGAUCUGGUUUAGUCGCUCGACAGGCAAGGCCCUGUCAUGAAGCUGGCUGGGAUGGAAUGAACAGAGAUACAUAGACAUAAUCCAAGUAGUGAAUGUUCUGACUGUCUGGACUAUCACACGCUUCCAGUGGGAGAGACUGCAGCUGUUCAAGUAGAAUUUCCUUUCUAGGAAUAAGCAGGUAGGAAGGAAAUACUUGGUUUAGGAGUCUUGAGUUUUGUUUCUCAUAAAUUUAAAAUUGCACUUCUGAAGCAGAUGGUAGGGGUAUAGUUGUCUUCAUGUGUUCAGUGACUACUUUUUGUGUCAGUUGUCUGAGGAUAGCUUUAGGAAUAGAAGAAGCUCUGAAGUGGUUUGAAGUGUUAGUAAAAGAUACAAAUACUUGAAAUGAAACACAGCCCAUUCCACAUUAAGAGUUAAAUUAUGUCUUCCUGUGAAGUGGCCAGGGCCUUGUUCUCCUUGGUGGGGAAAGCUCCAGUGUUAAUAACUAAAUUAAAAAUAAUUGAAGUUCUGUUAGUAUGUUAAAAGUAGCUGAAGAAGGAUGUUCUUAGUGUCUGAAGUACUGUGCCUUGAGUUUGGAGCCUGCUUAUCAAUUUUCAACUCUAGUUGGCCAAAGAAGUUCCUGUGGCAGCUGCACUGGGAGCUCUUGUGUUCACAGAGAGUUCUGGAAAAAAAGUGUCAUAUUUUAACUUAGUCCUCUGUCCAUAAUGUGGAGUCUAAUUUCAUUAUAGUUGCAGACAUUAUUUCUUUUGCUUCCUUGCCCUCCUUGUCCUUGGAGUUUUUCAGUACAUAUCUUCAAAGCUUCCAAGUCUCCUAAGGCAAAGCAUAGGUGCUGUGAGCUACAUCAGUAAAUCUGAACAAAUGUCUGAAAUACAAUGCCAGAUGCUUGUGAAUGUUAGUUACAGAUUCAGUCAUCCAAAAUGACUGGAUGCCAUUUGAAGUGUUUGGAUGGUGGAAAGUGUUUCCAGGCUUGUCUGGAAGACUUCUGCUAAAAAAACUCUUGACUGCUAAUAAACUCUUUGAGCAAUGCUUUUUUUCCCCCCCGCACAUGUCUGUAGUUGUCCUGGCAUUAUUCUACCCGAGAGGAGAAAUGACAGUUUAGAAGAUCAGCAGAUUCUCACUAGUUUGAUUAAGUUACUGCAGGUCUUCUAUAUUUACUUACAGGUAACCCUGAGGGUAGGAUAGAGGUUUAUGUUUAAAACUGGAUAUUGGAGAACUUGUAGUGAAGGAUACUAAUGCAAAUUAUAGGGCUUUUUCCUCUGUAGAAAUGUAAUGUUUAAUAAAUUGUACAUGCUCAUGCAUGCUUGUGGUAGAAACAAAAACAGAAAACAAACAAAACAACUGCCAAAAUAAGAAAACUUGGCUGCAAAAGUAUUUACAAGGUUGAGGCCUGUGUUUUCAGUAAAACUAAACUUUAAGUGUGGCAGCAUAGCAGUCUAAAUCUUUCCUGACUUAGAACACUGUGUGUAUGCUCUUUCCAUGCUCAUGCUACAGAGUGUAAUAUGGAGGUGCUGGAUUUACUUAGUUUCCACUUUGGCCUCCAGGGUAGGUGUAUCUGAAGAAGGAGUUGAAUGUGCAGACGGCUGUUGAUAUGCAUUGAUACCCUGCUGUUGGUAUGUUUGCUUGCUGUGGCAAAUCAGUCUGUAGUGACUUGGAAUGUUAGCUUGAUAAUUAGCUGCUUUUAGGAGAACAUAUUCAUUUUGGUUACUUGUGGUCACAUAAUCAUCUGUGAUGUUAACCUUGGAGCUGCGAGUCAUCUAAUUUCUGAGGUACUCCAUAUUUUUGGGGGUUGGCAAUAAAAUUCAUCACUGAGGGAGAAAGUUAAGAAGUUCACGUUUUCUGAUUCAUAGCUAUCCUGUCUUUAUACCAUUUACUUUAGUUUGUGCUUUACUAAAUUUAUACAGGGUGAUUUAUUCUGCAUAAUUAUUGAAUUCUUUAGUAGGUCAUCUGGCAGGAAUUACAGGCAGAGGAAAAUAAGUGUAGAAUUCUAGAAAAUAGUUGUCAUGGGUUCAGCAGCAGCAGUCAUUUUUUCUCCUUCUUGGUAGCUGGUGCAGUGCUGUGUUUUUGAUUUUGGGCCUCGGAACAGUGCUGAUAAUACCAGUGUUUUCAGUUACUGCUUGGUGAUGUUUAGGCUGGCCAGGGACUUUGUGAGUCUCAUGCUCUGCCAGGGGGGAUCAAGAAGCCGGGAGGAAGGAGAGACAGGACACCUGACCCAGACUAACCAAAAAGAUUAUUCCAUACCAGAGCAUGUCAUGUCCAGGAUGCAAAAACGGAGAGCAGAG
ensembl:lncRNA